AAUAGAGGCGCGGUUUAUAUGAGUACCGCUGCGGAGAGCGCCGCCGCUCGAUGAUGCAGCCGGGAAAGGAUACGCCGCCGAAGGGGCCUGACGGCGGAAGUCUGGGCUGCCUGGGCAGCAGGUCAACAGCCUGCUGACUGUCAUCAGACCACUCUGGUGGAGCGCUUCUGGU
rnacentral:ncRNA from 1 species